UAAGGUCUUACGCAAGGAAAUAGCCAAUCAAAAUGAACUUAGUCAAUUGAAGUUCCAUAUAUAUAGAGAAAUUUUUUUUUUCUUUUUUCAUUUUUGGCAAUUUGUUUUAGGCCUACAGUAUUAAAAUUGGACUCAUGUACUAGGAAUAUCAUUUCUUUAGCAGAAUUAUCCCACUGAAUUAAAAGGAACUCUUUUUUCAGGUGCGCAUGAUGCAACUUCCUGGAUGGUGUGUAGGCUGUUUGUCAACAUGUGAAUCCCACGUGCAUUUCGGGGAGUUGUCUCCCCUUGAAAAGAUCAAUAAUGGCGGAUAAACAAUGCGGCAUGCAGUCUUGUCACCAACGGACAGUUUUGACACCCGUAUACCCAUAUUUCUACCAAAUACCUCUGAAACCUUUGUUGUGUUCAUCACACAGAUGAUGGACCACUCUACUUCCUUUUACAACAGGUGCCCCUACAGAUUCACAAAGUUCUAGUGUUGAGUUUCCAUGACCCCUAUUCAUCCACGACAGGAAAAGGAAUAGAGUUGACAGGACUUCCCGCACUGUCCCUGGUAGCAGUUUAUGAGGGAACCAACCGCAGUAGACAUAGCACGCUUCAUCAAAGAUGCACCAGAUGCAGCGGCACUGUCUCCAUCACUGGUAAAAUGGGAUAUGACUAGAGGCCGGUCAUCACUCUGUAACUCACCAACACAAUUAGCGGCCCAUCUCUUCUCGUCUCCAAUGGUGGUCUCCGGAGGAAUGGUUGCAGUGCAGUCUUCAUGUCCUGGGCAGGUCUGUUGCAUGUUGGCGGCUGACGCAGGUUCAAUAUUUGCACCAAGAAGCAUACCACGCAUACCCUCUGUUGUAAGACUGGUACCCAGGUGACCGACAGCCAUGGCCACAUUCAGCUGUGCAGCUCUUCGUCCCCUUCCAGAUCUUCUCACCUCUUCGUAAAGCUUUUCGCGGUGACUGGUAUAGUGGCACUUCUUACAUCGAAUGGAAAGAAUCCAUGCCAGGCCUCGUUUUUCCUCUCCAUGCUGAUUCCAGUCCAGUGGACCAUCACAGUCAGGAAACUUUUAUUCCAUGUAGGUGUCCACUGGCUGGACCUCACUUGGCCCGGGUCGUAAAAACUUCAUCUCGCUGCUUCGGCUCUUGGCAUCGAUAACUGUAAACACCCCAUUUUUCUGUGGCCGUACCAUGUCCUGAAACUCUUUUUUACUUAGUCUUCUUAUGGGAACUAGAGAUUGGACUGGGCUGGUGGUCCCUAUUUUCUUCUGGCCUUUGUUGUGAGGAAUACUUCCUUUUUUGUAUUGAUGUUGAUGCAACCAUUUUGGUCCUUUCUUUGGCAUGAGCUGCCUGGUCUUCUAAGAGAAACUCCAUUCUUUGAUGACUGAUGGAAAAGCCUCAUCACCCCCCACUGCUUAAGAACCCCUUAUCUUAAUCACCAGCCAUUAAUCAGUGAUCACUGUUAUCAAAGCUCCAAGGUGCGCAUGAUGCAACUUCCUGGAUGGUGUGUAGGCUGUUUGUCAACAUGUGAAUCCCACGUGCAUUUCGGGGUAGGUAUGUUUACUGUCGAUUUUCUUUCUUAAAAGCCGCAUAAGGCAUAUUUUUUCUGAUCUCAAAUUUUUGUUUACGCAUUAAUCUUUAUUUUCUCUUUCAUGAAUUUUCUGCUGAGAGUCUAAUAAAUUAAAUAAUUUAAUUCAAGUUUUAUAGUAAUAUAUAGGGAAAUUAUUUCCUUGUGUGAGACC